GACGAACCGUGCAAACGUUGUUCGGAAUCACUGGGCUUAAAGGGCGCGUAGGCGGCUUGCCAAGUCGGUGGUGAAAUCCUGCAGCUUAACUGUAGAAGUGCCUUCGAUACUGGCAAGCUCGAGGGAGGUAGGGGUCUGUGGAACUUCUGGUGGAGCGGUGAAAUGCGUUGAUAUCAGAAGGAACGCCGGUGGCGAAAGCGACGGACUGGACCUCUUCUGACGCUGAGGCGCGAAAGCUAGGGGAGCAAACGGG
rnacentral:rRNA from 1 species